rnacentral:rRNA from 1 species
AUUGAACGCUGGCGGCAGGCUUAACACAUGCAAGUCGAGGGGGGGAGGUUGCUUCGGUAACUGACCUAGCGGCGGACAGGUGAGUAAUGCUUAGGAAUCUGCCUAUUAGUGGGGGACAACAUUCCGAAAGGGAUGCUAAUACCGCAUACGCCCUACGGGGGGACAGAAGGGGCUCUUCGGACCUUGCGCUAAUAGAUGAGCCUAAGUCGGAUUAGCUAGUUUGCGGGGUAAAGGCCUACCAAGGUGACGAUCUGUAGCGGGUCUGAGAGGAUGAUCCGCCACACUGGGACUGAGACACGGCCCAGACUCCUACGGGAGGCAGCAGUGGGGAAUAUUGGACAAUGGGCGGAAGCCUGAUCCAGCCAUGCCGCGUAUGUGAAGAAGGCCUUUUGGUUGUAAAGCACUUUAAGCGAGGAGGAGGCUCUUAAGGUUAAUACCCUUGAUGAGUGGACGUUACUCGCAGAAUAAGCACCGGCUAACUCUGUGCCAGCCGCCGCAGUAAAAC